UUAAGUAAGGAAGGGCGUACGGCGAAUGCCUUGCCACUCGAAACUGAAGAAGGACGCGCCAAACUGCGAAAAGCUCCGUGAAGCUGUAAGGAAGCGAAGAAGCGGAGGUGUCCGAAUGGGGGAACCCGGCAGCAGACAUGAGCUGUCAUCUGCAGGUGAAUACAUGGCCUGCAAGAGAGGUACCCGGCGAACUGAAACAUCUAAGUAGCCGGAGGAAAAGAAAACAACAGUGAUUCCCUGAGUAGCGGCGAGCGAAAGGGGAGAAGCCCAAACCGGUUGAAGGACCGGGGUUGAAGGACCAUGACAUGGCAAGAACGAGGAUAGGAGAACGGGAUCGAAAGCCCGGCCGAAGAAGGUGAAAGCCCUGUAACCGAAAUCCGAGUAAAGCCUAAUGGGAUCCUGAGUACGGCGAGACACGAGAAAUCUUGUCGGAAGCAGGCGGGACCAUCCGCCAAGGCUAAAUAUAAACGAGUGAGCGAUAGUGAACCAGUACCGUGAGGGAAAGGUGAAAAGAACCGCGGGAGCGGAGUGAAAGAGAACCUGAAACCGUAUGCCUACAAGAAGUCAGAGCCCGUUAAGGGGUGAUGGCGUGCCUUUUGUAGAAUGAACCGGCGAGUUGCGACAGACUGCGAGGUUAAGGAGGAAAGACCGGAGCCGAAGCGAAAGCGAGUCUUAAGAGGGCGAAAGUAGGAUGUUGCAGACCCGAAACCGGGUGAUCUAGCCAUGAGCAGGUUGAAGUUGAGGUGAAACUCAAUGGAGGACCGAACCGACUACCGUUGAAAAGUUAGCGGAUGACUUGUGGCUAGGGGAGAAAUUCCAAUCGAACCCGGAGAUAGCUGGUUCUCCCCGAAAUAGCUUUAGGGCUAGCGUCGGAAAGAACCUUAGUGAAGGUAGAGCACUGAAUGUGUGAUGGCCCCAUCCCGGGGUACUGAAUACAAUCAAACUGCGAAUGUCAUUAAGGAUGUCCGGCAGUCAGACUGUGAGUGAUAAGGUCCAUGGUCAAGAGGGAAACAGCCCAGACCGCCAGUUAAGGUCCCAAAAUACAGGCUAAGUGGAAAAGGAUGUGGGGAUGCCCAGACAACUAGGAGGUUGGCUCAGAAGCAGCCAUCCUUUAAAGAGUGCGUAACAGCUCACUAGUCGAGUGACCCUGCGCCGAAAAUGUACCGGGGCUAAGCCUGAUACCGAAACUGCGGAUUGUAGGAAACUAUAGUGGUAGGGGAGCGUUGUAUACGAGCAGAAGCCGUACCGUGAGGAGCGGUGGAUUGUAUAGAAGUGAGAAUGCCGGUGUGAGUAGCGAGAUGUAGGUGAGAAUCCUACACACCGAAAGCCCAAGGAUUCCAGGGGAAGGUUCGUCCGCCCUGGGUAAGUCGGGACCUAACGCGAGGCCGAAAGGCGUAGUGGAUGGAAAGCAGGCGAAAGAUUCCUGCACCCGUAUAUGGAGCGAAGGAGUGACGGAGACGGAUAGUGUGACCCUCUUAAUGGAUUGAGGGCGAAGCGAAGCGGCUGGUUACCAGGCAAAUCCGGUAACCAAAAGGCUAGAGCGUGACAGGUAAGCGAAAUCUUAGGAAAGUAGCGAAGCACAUGAUGACGGCUUCCAGGAAAAGCUUCUGGCAAUGCAUAUGCGGCCCGUACCAAAACCGACACAGGUGGGCAGGGAGAGAAUCCCGAGGUGAGCGAGAGAACUGUUGCCAAGGAACUCGGCAAAAUGACUCCGUAAGUUAGCGAGAAGGAGUGCUUAAGCAAUUAAGCCGCAGUGAAGAGGCCCAAGCGACUGUUUAACUAAAACACAGCUCUCUGCGAAGUCGCAAGACGAAGUAUAGGGGGUGACACCUGCCCGGUGCUGGAAGGUUAAGAGGAUCUGUUAAGAGCGAUCUGAAGCAGUGAUCCGAAGCCCCAGUGAACGGCGGCCGUAACUAUAACGGUCCUAAGGUAGCGAAAUUCCUUGUCAGGUAAGUUCUGACCCGCACGAAAGGUGUAACGAUUUGGGCGCUGUCUCGGCAGCAGACUCGGUGAAAUCUUAGUACCUGUGAAAAUGCAGGUUACCCGCAACUAGACGGAAAGACCCCAUGGAGCUUUACUGCAGCCUGAUAUUGAAUUCUGGUCAUACAUGUACAGGAUAGGUGGGAGACAAAGAGACGUGCACGCCAGUGUACGAGGAGUCGACGUUGGGAUACCACUCUUGUGUGACCGGGGUUCUAACCUGGUAUCGAGAACAGGUACGGGGAGAGUGUCAGGUGGGCAGUUUGACUGGGGCGGUCGCCUCCCAAAGAGUAACGGAGGCGCCCAAAGGUACGCUCAGAUUGGAUGGAAACCAAUCGUCGAGUGCAAUUGCAGAAGCGUGCUUGACUGUGAGACAGACAAGUCGAACAGGGACGAAAGUCGGGAAUAGUGAUCCGGCGGUGCCGAAUGGAAGGGCCGUCGCUCAACGGAUAAAAGCUACCCUGGGGAUAACAGGC
rnacentral:rRNA from 1 species